rnacentral:lncRNA from 1 species
AUCAUAUGAUCAUAAGAUGAAUGGAACAAUAACAAUGUAUCGUGAUGUAAAGGAGGAAACUGUCUACUAUAAAUUCAGACGCAAAACUGUAUACAUCAACUACAUCUGACUUGUAUACUUUAGAUAAAAGUGCAAACAAGGUAAUUAUACUUUCAUAUGUUUACUGUUUAUAUUAUAGAAUGUCUUUUCCUUUGUUCAAUCAUCUGUUAUAUAAUUUUAUUUUAAUUUAAAAUACAGAAAGCUUUUAUUAUACAAUUUAACUACAGUACUAUUUGAAAUAAUGCAAAUGGCAACAAAUUGAUACAGUCUCAGGAAUACAAAGGAAUAAAACUAUUUGAUGCAAAAUAUAACAAGAAUGUGUCCCAAAUACACGGAUACCUUAUUCGCACUAUCAUUUAGUAUUUUCAAUGGACCGUGAAAGCGGGAUAAAAACUCUUAAUUUGGCAUUAAAAUUAGAAAGAUUAUAUCAUAGGGAAUAUGUGUACUAAAUUUCAAGUUGAUUGGACUUCAACUUCAUCAAAAACUACCUUGACCAAAAACUUUAACCUGAAGCGGGACAGACGGACGAACGAACGGACGGACGAACGAACGGACGAACAGACCAGAAACCAUAAUGCGAUGGACAAAAAAAGUUGAGACGAAUGGCAAUGAUGUAAAUGAAAGAGCUAUACAUUGAAGACCACAAGACAAAACUAACGGCUGAUAUUAACUAUAAAAACAAUAAACGAAAAUACCAUUAUGGUAUACGGCAACCACCGACAGCUACUGGAUAACUGGCCUCUUGACGAGGACAGAAACACAAAAAAUAUGGCAGGGUUUAACAGGUGUGUUAACGCUCAAAACUCUCCUUAUAGUUGUGUUACACAGAAAAUGCAUGUACAAUGCUUUAUUACUUUUAAGGAAACCAUUUCAAUAUGAAGAAAUCAGCAAUUGUUGGAGCAAUGUUUGUUUUACUUCUGAUCUAUUCGUGUGGUGAGUAAACAGAAUUCCUUAUUUUACAUGUUUUAUUUGUUAAUAUAAUCUGUAAUCAAAGGGAGAGGCUUAGCGCUUUAAAACCAGGUUUAAUUCCCCAUUUUCUACAUUUGAAAUUGCCUGUACCAAGUCAGGAAUAUGACAGUUCUUGUCCAUUCGUUUUUUAUGUGUUUCGUCAUUUGAUUUUGCCAUGUGAUUACGGACUUUCCGAUUUGAUUUUCCCCUGAGUUCGGCAUUUUUGAGAUUUGACUUUUUGUAUAAUCAAGUAUCUUAUUGUAUUAUAACAAAACUUCAUCAAUAGAUUACAGCUUUCUCUUGGUCGAAAUUUACAGGUCCUAGUGAAACAAAAACUACAAACAUUUAUUUUAUUUAUUCAAUGGGACAAUGUACAAACAAAAAUUAAAUAUCUGAUCCAAAAGGGGAUUAAUCUGGUGAAAAAUUUCAUAUGGUUUGCAAUCAUAAUUACUAAAAAUAUAUUUAAUGGUAUUUCAUCUUUAUAAUUAAAAGUGUAUUUGUAAAUGAAAAACAGUAAAAAAAAACAGAUAGAAGGAAAAGGAUAUGAUAAACACAAUAAGUGAACAAACUGUUUUUGUUAACAAUGCUGUUAUUGCUAUUCUUCCAUCUCUAUUAAUAUAGAUUCUAUCUAUAAGAAGUAAAAAGAAUGUAAAAUAUUGCUGUAACAUAUUUGACUUACUAGUAAGACGUCUUUUGUUGCUGCAACUAAUGAAUCUUUCAAAUACACUUUUCAGUCAAUGAAGUACAAGGGGCGGAACCCAAAAACAGUGUACGGGUUCUCAAGUGUUCUAAACACUGCAUACUGCCAUUUACAAAAAGGAAGUGUAAAAAAUGUUGUAAAGAUAAUGGAAAGAAACACGGACGAUGCUUUUCUGUCUUUUGUGUUUGUUGGAACUGGCCGUAAGGUAUAGGGUGAGUAUAACUAAUAGUCGCCAUGAGAUGAGAAUAAACACGUAUAACUAAACCAAUGUCAGCCUUUGGACUAAGUGAGUAAAUUUUUGAACUCCAUAACAGCUUAUCUUAAAAAGAUUAUAUUUAUUCUGGGAGGUCUGAAUAAGCUUGAUUCAUCUUCAUUCACUGCAAGUUCUGUUUGGUCGAUACUUUUGUGUUGUAGGGGUCUGUAAUGCAGUGGUUGUCUUUGGUCGCUGUCUAUCAAUUAUCGUUGUUGUUAGGAGGUAUCCAAUAGAUUAAUAUUCAUUAUUAAGUUAACUCAUUAUCGAUGGCGCUAUGGUUAAAUAUACUUGCUUCCAACUGCUUUGUUCAGUCGUUGGUAGCAAUAAUAGGACAUUCCAUUUUAUAUUACAUCUUGGCGAACUUUGUAUUAACCAUUUAUGUUAUAUGCAAUGAAUUUAGUCCAUUUAGGACUUGAUUUUAUUUAUUAAGGACUCCCUUGGCAACUGAACUGGCUCGUUUCAAACGUACCACCAAUGCUACAAGUUUUUCGACUGACCGAUGGGAUUUCAAAAUUCAACAUAAAACAAAUAAAAAAAUUACAGUUACCUAUAAUAAAAAAAUGUUUAUUAAUAAAAAUAAUAUACAUAACUAAAAACUAUUCAAAGUAUUGUGUUUGUUGAUUGUAUCAUUAAACUGUGUUUAAUUCAAACUCCAAUAUCUAAAGGUAUUGUCAUAUGAUAAUACUCAUGUAUCUUCAAUUUUCUUACCUAUAAUUUUUAUGCACAUAUUGAUUGAUGUUAGUUUUUGGCGUCCAGUGACAAAUAUUUCAUAUAUAUAAGAUGAAUGCACCAAAUCUCAUGCAGAGUACAGCUAAAGUUGAACUGAUGUGUUGUAACAAUAUGUGAGGUUCUGGAAAACAAAUCUCUGAUUUUGUAUCUACGAAAAAAGUUAAAUCCCGAGAAUACUGAACUUCGAGGAAAAUCCAGAAUGGAAACCCCACUCAUCGAAUUGUCUAUCUGCCUAUUGAAAGGCCUGGAAUUUUAUUAUUUUGUUUAGAUUCAUUUACUAACAUAUAAGCUAUGCUAGUACGAGUAUACGUUCUGCUGCACGAAUUUUUUUAAAUUCCAAAAGUGCAUAUUGAACUAUAAUAUAAUAUUAAGCUGGCACCGCCAAUGUUUGAUUUGUUUACUUGUCGUUUGUUUUCGUCGUCCGUCCGUCCGUCCGUCUAUCAUUGAACACUUUUUCAAAGAGUGUAUACUCCGUGACAAAGAAUUUAUUUCCAAAAAGGGUAAAAUUUAUAUCAGAAUAACAUAAUUUUACGAGCUGGACGAAUCAGGCUUAUAAGAGCUCUGGUUUUCUGUAUAAAUCGAAAAAUUAAAAGAACCGAACCACAUUAUGCAUGACUUGAUCCAAUCAAAAGUGCUUUGUAACUCAUUUAUGAUAGUCCUUACUAUCUGGAUUAUUCCAUAUACCAUUGAUUGUACACCAUGAAUAAUUCAACAUGUAUAUUUACCAUACAACAUACCAUAAUUUGUCAAUCUCUAUUACACCACCCACCACCUCCCUCCCUAAUUACCAAAUAACAUCAUACAACAAACAAAAAAUGGAGAUAUUGUGUAUUCCUUGUUCAUUCUAAAUACUAUUAAUUAAUGUUGAGCACUGUAGAAUAACGAUAGUGAAUGUCUACUUUUUAUUUGUUGAAAGCAUAUAAAGUUAUCAAAGGUACCAGGAUUAUAAUUAAGUACGCCAGACGCGCGUUUCGUCUACAUAAGACUUAUCAUUGACGCUCAUAUCAAAAUAUUUAUAAAGCCAAACAAGUACAAAGUUGAAGAGCAUUGAGAACAAACAAUAAUCCAACUGUUUUCUUUUUCAGAACAAUGAGCCUCACGAAAACUGCUUUCUGUUAACAGGUUAAUUAAAAAAAAUUAACAAACAAAAAGACUUAGAUUUUUUACCCAAUAGUAUACAUGUAU